ACCCCCCAGUUCAACUGGGGGUAAGUAAAAUUUCUUAAAGUAAAAAAAGAACCUCUCAUGAUACAAUGUAGAUGGUCUGGCAACCACUACAUUAUUCAGAAGAGAGGUUC
rnacentral:sRNA from 1 species